ensembl:lncRNA
UAUCACCGGGACUUUUUCUGCUUGUGUCUUGAGGAUUGCUCAUCUCCCAUGAGGCUUUAAAUCACUUUUUUCUUCUCAAGAAGCAGGCUUCUCAAGAAGCCAGGCACUUAGCCUAUGGGAGCCAGGAAAGGGGGUGUGUAGUCACCUCGGCCAAACCCCGGCUUUGGGCAGAAACAUGCACCCCUGCUUCUUUCCUUAGCUGCCUCCAGGAACCGGAUGUUGCAGAUUAUCUGAGCAGUUCUCUCCGAAUUAGCCCUUCUCCAGCCUCACCAUGAGGCAUCUCCACUCUGACCUCCUGCAUCCCCUCUGCACAGAAAACUGAGCUAAUGGUGGUCAUGAUUAAUUAAAUGGCGAACCCCAUAAAGCUGCAGCUGGGGAUGCACAGGAAGUUCUGUUGUGUGGUCAAGAUCAAGGACACUCCUCAGAGACAUGGAGCAGAAUGUUUCAGGCACCCUACAAAUGAAUGUCAUUCCUGGGCAUCUCUACUGGAGGCAACGAUAACUUGGCAACAUAAAUUAGGGACAAAAGCACACUAUAGACUAUUAAGACCUUUUAGCAAUUGAAGACAGAGAGACGGACUUUAUGUAAUAAGUGUUUUAAAGCCCUGUUGUAAAAGAAUUGAAAUUUCUCAGCAUAGACUAUCACAUUUCAUAAAGAAAAUAUCAGUGUAUAAUAGAGAACAGGAAGAGUUGUAUAUGUAAACCAUGAAUCAGAACAGAAAAUGUGAAACAGAAUGAAAAUGUGAACUGAACCCUUGGCCACACCUGAUGCAGUUUCGCAGAAUCCACAUGUGGCAGGAUUGGAAGACAAUACCAAAAUCACACAGUACAGUAAAUGCAGUUAGUGUUUAUUUUCAUUGUAUACAACACCUCUGAGGUUCUCAUUCUGUAUGGUGGGCUUGGUCACUUCAAUUUAUCUUUUUGCUUUAUUAUAAAAUUUCAAGUAAAAAAAUGCCACUGGGUAUCAUCGUAAGUAAACAUCUGAUAAUUAGGCUAAUCUCAAAUAAUAAUUACAGUCAAGAUGCUCGUGCCUGGGAUAGACACCACGUGCCUUUUACUAAGCAGCGGCUUAAGUGAAGUUUUUUCUUGCCUCAGUGGGCUACUCAUUCCAGAAGCACAUUUGUAACUACAGUCACUGGGUUGCACCUAGUUUUGUAUUUUUUAAAAUUUAACAUAAUACGUUACAAUGACUCACAUGUUGUUGCCUAGUUUAAUGAAGAACAAUUUCUUAAAGAACAUUGUGUUCAUAUCUCUCCUUGAAAAAAGAACAAAUGAAGAUCAAGAGAUUGUUUAAAAUGUCAAAUUUUAAAAAGCGUUCUAUGGAGUAAAAGAAGUAAAGAUCAUACUCAGAGAUAGAUACUUCCUUCUUUAGUUUUAUUGUUUCUAAAUUUUGCUUUGUUGAACAAGAUAAUAGAGUUAAAACAACAAGGAGUAUGUUUUAUCUUAACAAAUUUUCCAAGGGGUGAAUAAGUCAGUUAAGAGGCAGCCUCUUUUUCUGUUGUAUUUGUCUUUAAGAAGGACGGCUCAUGGUGCCCAGUUCUGAUAACAGAACCUGGAUAAACACUAUUAAAAUGAACUCUGGUCUUGUCUUGGGCCCCAACUGGCUGGGAUAUUGUCCUGCAUGCUCAGAUGGCAUUCUGAGACCCAGCUGUCCUUCUUGGAUUUUCUUCCAGCCAGAACCUCCAGCAAAAGUUUCUGUGGAGACAUUUCCCUGCAGCUUAGAACAUCUACUAUUUCUCCUGGAGGAGACUCCCACUCCACCAAAAAACCCUUCCCUGGAACAGAGGGCUGGGAGAAAGACAAGCAAUUACUGUUGCUUCCUAUAUUGUUUACUGAACUCUUUCAUAUACAAGAAUCUAUUUUGAGAACAUGGGUCCUUAAUCUGGCUUGCUCACAGAGGUGUGGUAUGUCAUGGGACUACAAGAAGAUGAGAAUUCUACAGCAGUACAGCUGAACUUUUCCAUGAGCUCAGCACCAGGUUUAACCUUACUAUUAUCCACAGGUGAUUCACAGAUGAGGAAACUGAAGCUUAGAGAGUUAAAUAACUUGCUUGAGGUCAUGCAGUAAAUAAAUAGCAGACACAGCACUUGGAUAUAAUCUCUACUGCCUCUUACCACACUGACCCAGGAUACAUGCUAUUGAGCAAAGCCAUUAUCACAGCCCUUCAUAUCUAGGGGCAAGAAGGCCAGAUAAGGAGAGACCAGGGAAAGAGAAUAGCGGUGGUCCUAUGCCCUCCUUUUAUGACAUUUUUUCUAAGCUCUUGCCCCAUAUCCUAAUCUACUUAUCAUUAAGGAUUUUUGACUCUUGACUUCCCUUAGUCUUUCCCGUCUUCUCAGAAACUGCUCCAGCCUUGACCUAGGGCUUUCUCUUUCUCCCCACUUCUUUCUGCCCUUUGAGUUGUCUCGCUCCCAGGAGAUUUCUUGCCACUGGCCUAGGUCAACAAACAGACUCAUCAGGGUCCUGCCAUAAGCAUGAUUCUGCUCUCCUUAUCCUGAGUUAUACACUGAGGCUCCACAGGCCCUGAUAUUUCUGACAUAAGACAGGUGAGAUCCAAAAUUGGGGCUUAGCCCAGGAGGGCUCUUGACUUUGCCCAAGGAAGAAUUCAAGGGUGAGCUGGUGGUGGUAAACAACGACUCGCAGAGCAAGGCUACCCCAAUAGGCUGUGUGCCCAAAGUAGCAGAUCGGAGGCAGUUUUGCACUCACAUUUAUACCCACUUUUAAUUAUAUGCAAAUUAAGGGGCAAUUUAUACAGAAAUUUUUAGGAAAAGGGUGGUAACUUCCUGGUUGUCAGGUCAUUGCCAUGGAAAGGGGCAGUAAUUUCUGAGUGUUGCCAUAGCAGUGGUAAACUGACAUGUUACACUGGUAGGUGUGUCUUAUGGAAAACUGCUUCCACUUCAGCCCUGUUUCAGCUAAUCCUCAACUUGGUCCUGUGUCUGAGCCCUGCUUCCACAGUCAAGUCCCACCUCUUACUUUACUUCCACUGUUUGACAGACUCAUGGUUCUCUAUUUGGGAUCUUAGAUAUUUGGCCCCACUAUUGCCCAGCUCUGCUCUUCCUUGAAUGAUUAAUGUUUGAACAAUUUAUACUGCCACCCAAAGAAUCCGAGGGUUCAAGUUUGACCUUAUGCUAAUAAAAUUUUU